GUAGGGAAUCUUCCACAAUGGACGAAAGUCUGAUGGAGCAACGCCGCGUGAGUGAAGAAGGUUCUCGGAUCGUAAAACUCUGUUGUGAGGGAAGAACAAGUACCGGAGUAACUGCCGGUACCUUGACGGUACCUCAUUAGAAAGCCACGGCUAACUACGUGCCAGCAGCCGCGGUAAUACGUAGGUGGCAAGCGUUGUCCGGAAUCAUUGGGCGUAAAGCGCGCGCAGGCGGUCCCUUAAGUCUGAUGUGAAAGCCCACGGCUCAACCGUGGAGGGUCAUUUGAAACUGGGGGACUUGAGUGCAGAAGAGGAAAGCGGAAUUCCAAGUGUAGCGGUGAAAUGCGUAGAGAUUUGGAGGAACACCAGUGGCGAAGGCGGCUUUCUGGUCUGUAACUGACGCUGAGGCGCGAAAGCGUGGGGAGCAAACAGGAUUAGAAACCCUUGUAGUCC
rnacentral:rRNA from 1 species